rnacentral:rRNA from 1 species
AUUGAACGCUGGCGGCAUGCCUUACACAUGCAAGUCGAACGGUAACAGGUCUUCGGAUGCUGACGUGUGGCGAACGGGUGAGUAAUACAUCGGAACGUGCCUAGUAGUGGGGGAUAACUACUCGAAAGAGUGGCUAAUACCGCAUGAGAUCUACGGAUGAAAGCAGGGGAUCGCAAGACCUUGUGCUACUAGAGCGGCCGAUGGCAGAUUAGGUAGUUGGUGGGAUAAAAGCUUACCAAGCCGACGAUCUGUAGCUGGUCUGAGAGGACGAUCAACCACACUGGGACUGAGACACGGCCCAGACUCCUACGGGAGGCAGCAGUGGGGAAUUUUGGACAAUGGGCGCAAGCCUGAUCCAGCAAUGCCGCGUGCAGGAUGAAGGCCUUCGGGUUGUAAACUGCUUUUGUACGGAACGAAAAGCCCUGGGUUAAUACCCUGGGGUCAUGACGGUACCGUAAGAAUAAGCACCGGCUAACUACGUGCCAGCCGCCGCAGUAACAC